CCAUGUAUUAAAGAUUUAGUCCUAGGAGAUAUGACAUCCAGUGGAAUUGGGGGUGGGGGGUGUCUUGACUACAAAGGAGAUUUGGUUUUCUUUUUUCUCUAUCCAUCCACCGCCUCCCCUUCUUUCUUCUCACCCGAUUCCUGAUCUUCGUUUCAUUCUUCCUUCCGUGCUUGGAAUUGAACCCAGAGCCUUUUGCAUGCUGGACAAGCACUGCACCUCCAGGACUUAGUUCUUUCUCUUGCUUCCCGACGAUGAAGGGAGUGAUUUUUGCUUUGCCACAGACGCCUGCCAUAAUUUUCUGUCUUGCCUUGGGUCUCAAAACAACAGAGCUAAUUGAUCACAAACUGUAUUGUCCAAAAACUGUAAGCCAAGCUUGUAACCUGUCCCCUCCUGGACUGUGAAAAGAACAUAUAGCCCGACCUCCCUGCCAACAAGCUGUACCAUUGGGAAGAGGAGAGCCCAACGGUAGAAGCUCAUCAAUGAUUCCCAGCCUCUGUUUCCAUCAGAAUUGCUUGAUGAAGCUCCUUUAACACAAAUAGAUUUACUCACAUUCCUUAACUGUAAAAGGUGUGCAUGUGCCAGCAGGGGGUUCUGGAAUCAUGUACCUUUGUCAGAGCUCCCCCAUUUAAUUCUGAUACAAUUCCACGUAUUACCUAAAGAGAACCACUACUGAUGCGU
rnacentral:lncRNA from 1 species